UUCAUUAAGAUGUGAUAGAUGUGUGUGUAACUUUUACUAACGUUGGAGAAGAUGUAUUCAUGAGCAUUUAAAGGAAAAUAUUCAUAUCAUCUAACAUAUACUCAUAAGCAUUUAAAGGAAGAUGUUCAUGUAAUCCAAAGGACAUUGUUAAAGAUAUAACAAGCUGUUAGAAAUGCAUAAGUUAGAGUAAGCUUAAGGUAUAACUAAACUGUUAGAAAUGCAUAAGUAAUGUAAGCUUAGUGUGAGGACAUAAUGUUCUGUGUUUAACAAAGAAGCAAGCAGCAUGGAAACAUUUUAAUAGCUCAUUGUAUUUCAAGUGUGAGUUAUAUUUGUGCAGGGUUUUGAUCAAACAAAAGAUAAACCAGAACUUGCAACCAAGAGAUAAAUUGAGCAGAAAGGUGUGAGGUCGAACAGAACUUGCAACCAAGAGAUAAAUUGAGCAGAAAGGUGUGAGGUCGAACAGAACUUGCAACCAAGAGAUAAAUUGAGGUGUGAAGUCAAUCUGUACUUGGACAUAGGAAACUUAACACAAACGUCAUUGUGCUGUCCAAAUUAAAUAUAGACAAUCGGUAGCAAAACCAGAUAUAGCCUGCAUGGUUUCCUGGGUUUUCAGGUAUAUAAGGAUGAUGAGAAGGACUAGCCUUCGCCUUCACAUGUAGACACUGUUCUGUAUGUUGAACGCCAAAAGAUUGGAUGUGUUUUCUUGCAAGAAAAUAAACUUUUGAUACUUUGACUUUUGAAAA